AGUUCGGAUUGUAGUCUGCAACCCGACUCAUGAAGCUGGAAUCGCUAGUAAUCGCGGAUCAGAAUGCCGCGGUGAAUACGUUCCCGGGUCUUGUACACACCGCCCGUCACACCAUGGGAGUCGGAAAUGCCCGAAGUCUGUGACCCAACCUUAGGGAGGGAGCAGCCGAAGGCAGGUCGGAUGACUGGGGUGAAGUCGUAACAAGGUACC
rnacentral:rRNA from 1 species